UGCAAGUCGAACGAUGAUCCCAGCUUGCUGGGGGAUUAGUGGCGAACGGGUGAGUAACACGUGAGUAACCUGCCCUUGACUCUGGGAUAAGCCUGGGAAACUGGGUCUAAUACCGGAUACGACCAUCUGGCGCAUGUCAUGGUGGUGGAAAGCUUUUGUGGUUUUGGAUGGACUCGCGGCCUAUCAGCUUGUUGGUGGGGUAAUGGCCUACCAAGGCGACGACGGGUAGCCGGCCUGAGAGGGUGACCGGCCACACUGGGACUGAGACACGGCCCAGACUCCUACGGGAGGCAGCAGUGGGGAAUAUUGCACAAUGGGCGCAAGCCUGAUGCAGCGACGCCGCGUGAGGGAUGACGGCCUUCGGGUUGUAAACCUCUUUCAGUAGGGAAGAAGCGAAAGUGACGGUACCUGCAGAAGAAGCGCCGGCUAACUACGUGCCAGCAGCCGCGGUAAUACGUAGGGCGCAAGCGUUAUCCGGAAUUAUUGGGCGUAAAGAGCUCGUAGGCGGUUUGUCGCGUCUGCUGUGAAAGACCGGGGCUCAACUCCGGUUCUGCAGUGGGUACGGGCAGACUAGAGUGCAGUAGGGGAGACUGGAAUUCCUGGUGUAGCGGUGAAAUGCGCAGAUAUCAGGAGGAACACCGAUGGCGAAGGCAGGUCUCUGGGCUGUAACUGACGCUGAGRMGCGAAA
rnacentral:rRNA from 1 species